rnacentral:rRNA from 1 species
UGUCCUACGGGGCGCAGCAGUGGGGAAUAUUGCACAAUGGGGGGAACCCUGAUGCAGCGACGCCGCGUGAGUGAAGAAGUAUCUCGGUACGUAAAGCUCUAUCAGCAGGGAAGAAAAUGACGGUACCUGACUAAGAAGCCCCGGCUAACUACGUGCCAGCAGCCGCGGUAAUACGUAGGGGGCAAGCGUUAUCCGGAUUUACUGGGUGUAAAGGGAGCGUAGACGGAUGGAUAAGUCUGAAGUGAAAGCCCGCGGCUCAACUGCGGGACUGCUUUGGAAACUGUGCAUCUUGAGUACGGGAGGGG